AUCAUUUCCGGUAAAAUGGUGAUCAAAGUCAUGUUAUAAGUUCUUGGUCCUAAAAUGCAACAAAAUGUUUUCAGGUAUUCAAUGUACAUACAGUAUGUAUAUACUACAUCAAGUACCUACAAAGUUGACAAGUUGUGAUUUGUGAAAUAAUUUCGUAUGAUUGUGCAUGAUCACACACCGGUAUCUGUAUGCCUGUAAUACAUGUAUAUAUUUAUUAUAUUACAUGCAGAAGUAUGCAUGUUAUGGAUUUUUUUGAAUUGUGAAAAUGUGUAACAGUAUUUAAAAAGAAUGUUUGUUUAUUGCACAUUUUGUUUCAACAACGCAUUCGCUUGGAUUUGCAAAUUCCUAUACAGAUUAAGAUUAAGGGUGUUAGGUAGAUUUACAACUGUAAUUUAUAGUAAAAUAAAAUUUGAUCUACUGGAUGUUUCUAUGUAAAUGUUAGUAUCACAACUCGAGUGUUAUACCAUGAAGCUUUUAGAUAUAAGAUCCAAGUCUAAAGAAUCUUAGUUCUUUUUAUUUGAAAUUUGUGGUUGUUGCUUCAUCUAUAGUGCAUAACAAGGAUGACAAUCUUUAAAAUAUACUGUAAAUUCCUAAUUAAAAGUGAGGAAUUAAAGUUUGCAUAAAAUAACAAGAAGCACAUCUUGCGGAUUUUAAAAUCUUGAUUUAACUAUAAAAAAUUCUGAGAAAAAUUCUGUGUUCGCGAUUUAAUGAAACCGUUGAAUUGCGGAAUUAUGUACUUACAUAAAAUAAGGAAUCUACAGAACCUGAAUCUAUAACCUUUGUAUAAGAGGCUGAUUUCUAUUUGCAAAAAUGUGUUAAGAAUUUAUUAUGGAGUGAUUGCAUUGGGUUGAAAAAGCUGUCAAAUGAAAAUGUAGAAAGUGAAAGAGUCUGUAAUUAUUGAUGUUACAAUUUAAUCAAUUUUAAGACAAUUUUUUUUGGUCACUUCUGUACAAUUAUCUUUGUAAGGCACUGGUCACUAGUGUACCAAGUUCUAGUACUUUUCCUGUUGUAUCUUGUUUUAAUAUGUACCGCUACAUGUACAUUACCCACACAAAUGAUUAUGGUACAUUUUUAUCUUAAAUACAGAAUUUAUGGUCAGUAUUUUAUAAGUUUUUCUUAUCCUAAUGUGUGACAUUUAUGUUAACUAUUUAAGUAAAAAAGCUACACUCCAGUAUUAACAAAACAAGAAAUUGAAAGCAAUAGAGUCUGAAGUCUUUUUUCUGUAUACGGCAAUAAAAUAUACACUGUAUAUACUAUUUGACAACUACUUUAGAAAAUUUAAGGAUAAACAACCUUAACAUUAUUAGAAACAAAGUGUAUACAAUUAUUUGGAAUUAAAAAAUAAAACAAAGUGGCUGCUGACAAUGAAUAUC
rnacentral:misc_RNA from 1 species